GCCCACCACCUUUUUUUACUCGCACGAGCUCUUCCUUCUCCCGAACUCGAUUUUCUUCGUUCCCCACGUUGUGCUCCACGGUGCAAUUCCCCAACCCCGAGCUCCCCCCAUGGAUGGAUAGCGGAUGCCAAAUCCAGCCGUCCCCCGUCGGGCCCCCGUCGUCUCCACGCGCCCUGGCCGCCAUGGACGGCGCGCGGAGAAGCUCGGCACCUGCUGCUGUCCACGGCGGCGCCGCGCACUUCACUGCCCACCGCCGGCCGAGAACGUCGCCACCCCAUCUCCUCCCUCCGCGAGAUCCGGCGCGCCGCAGCACGGAUCCGCUCGGCGCCGCCCGGAUCCGGCGCCUCCCUUCACACCGUGACGCCGUGGUCACAGGUCGGCUUCUUCUGGCUCUUUGACAGCAGCGGCGGCAUGGACGAGCGGGGGCUGCAGCGACGGCACGAGCUUGAAGGCAGCGGCCUCGAUGUCAACAGGUACCAGUUUCGAAUCUCCAGCGCGUUGGUUUCUCAAGGCGGCGGUUGCUUGACUGGACAACUCCUGCAUCUUGAACUAGCAUGACGCCGUAGUUCAUCUAUCUGAGGCUGGAUUAGUGCACAAUUUGAGGAUGGAUCUUCUACUCACUGAACGAAGCGAAUUAUCUGCUGUUCGGUGAUGGAUUGAGGAAGCUCUUUGGUAGCAGCACAAGUACUAAUCCGAUGUUGUUGGUUCAAUGAAAUUAGAGCUACCGGAUUCUAUAUUUGGCUUUGCUGCUACUUCUAAUCCCGAUGAGCUGCUACUUUGUUUCCCUGUAACUUUGAACCAUGGACAUGUAAUCUCAAUGUGUAAUCCGAGACGGUUUGGUUGAAUCGGAACAACUGAUUAAUUAAUUAAUUAAUUGCUGGAUGAUCUUUGAA